ncrna:Pseudomonas syringae pv. maculicola str. M6 Fluoride riboswitch
AUCUGCACAGGAGAUGGCAUUCCUCCUUGAAACCGCCUCGUGCUGAUGAUGCCUACGUAAAC